AUGAUCAAGUCACUUGAAGAUCCAAAUUACAUCAAAUCCCUUGACUUUCCUCCAAGAAUUCUUCCUUUUCAAGAUUUCCUCCAAACUCCUCCAUUUUGUCAUGCUAGCCACGACCUUUCCUUCCACUUUUGCAUUUCCAUCUUUAUUCAUUCCUCAUCAACACCUCAUGAAACAAGAGAAAAGAAAGUUGUUAGCAAGCAAUCAAGAACAUUGAACACAACCAAGAAUUUGUCAAGAAAAAGGUUUUCCCAAUUCAUCAUUAGGGUAUGGAAAGGAAUUAGUUUUGGUUUAGGGAGAUUGAAUCAAUCAUGUUCACAAAUCCAACAAUAA